rnacentral:rRNA from 1 species
CAGCAGCCGCGGUAAUACGAAGGGGGCUAGCGUUGUUCGGAAUUACUGGGCGUAAAGCGCACGUAGGCGGAUCGAUCAGUCAGGGGUGAAAUCCCAGGGCUCAACCCUGGAACUGCCUUUGAUACUGUCGAUCUGGAGUAUGGAAGAGGUGAGUGGAAUUCCGAGUGUAGAGGUGAAAUUCGUAGAUAUUCGGAGGAACACCAGUGGCGAAGGCGGCUCACUGGUCCAUUACUGACGCUGAGGUGCGAAAGCGUGGGGAGCAAACAGGAUUAGAUACCCCAGUAGUCCCUGUCUCUUAUAC